rnacentral:lncRNA from 1 species
AAGCAAAAUAACCGCCUCAGCCAGGCCCGAGGGAAACGCACGGAGCGUUUCUCCUCGUCCAGGCUGCGAGCGUACAGGGGUGGGGACGCGCGGGUGCAGCGGCGCGAGAGGAGUCGCGCACGCCUCACCUUCCUCGGCCCCAUUCGCGCACGUCAGUCGCCGCUGCGGCCCUCUCGCGCGGUCGCCGUCGCUGCCGCCCUCUCGCCCAGCCGUCAUCGUCGCCGUCCUUGCGCCAGAUCUGGGUCGAGCUCCCCCACGCGCGCAUGGCC